CCGAAAUUGAUUUUCUAACAACCAACUCACGAUUGCACGGUGUGGUUUUAUGUUUUUUCAAGAGAAAAUUUAAAUAAUUCCUUUCAUUAUCUCUCACAAAAUAGGCCACCAUUCCCUUUUGUGUCUAGAAUUAAGGGAAUUCAUCAUAGAAGCUUGUUUAGGAGGAGGGUGGCACCAAUACAUGAAAAGUAGCAUCCACAUGUGGGCAGGAACAGUGAGCACUUGAUGGUAUUGAUCCAGUUAAAGGACUAAGGAGAUUGCAUUUCUGUGUUUGCAUUUUUUUUAUAGGAGGCCCAGAAACAGAAGCGUUGGUUUAUAUAGCAUACAAGAGACACAGAGACAAAACGCCUAGCACUGUCUUUCUUUCUGAGUUGAAGACUGGUGCAAUGCAAUAGAUAGACACUUGUGCUAUGUUAUGCAAUGCAUGCUGCUGCUAUGACUUUAAUAAAGUGAUGGAUAUACAUGUCACUGUCUGCGCCACAGCUUUCUGCUUUCUAUUUCUACCCCCCAAAAACACUUGAGAGAAAACCACGGGGGACGGACGGGGAAUUUUACUGCCCCUGCCUCCCACGUGCACCACCCAACCAACAACACAAACAUCCUUAAUUUUCGUGAACAUUAUAAAAAAAGGUCCCCAAAUCAUCAUCAUCAUCAAUAUCAACUUUGUAAUCAUGGAUGUUUUUGCAUAAAGUUGUAGUUGGACUAUUCUUUCAUUCUUUCUAUUCUUCAUUUUUCCGCCCAUGACUCUUUGAUUAAAGGGAUAAUUAUCUUUUCACAUU